AGACGUUCUGCUUCGUAGGUGACCUGCGGAAGGAUCAUUA
rnacentral:rRNA from 1 species